rnacentral:lncRNA from 1 species
GCGCUCUUAUCCAGAUCUGCUUGUUGUAGCGAUAGGUGCUCCAUAUGGCUCUCAGGCCACUUCUGGCAGGCAGGGCUGCGAAGGGGACGAGGGUCUGAUGUCAGAUUUCUUUUUCCAGGCCAAGAUGAGAUGUAGCCAAACAAAGCUGGAAGGAUUGAAGACUAGCGAUGGGGCUGAAGCUUCUUAGGAAACACGCAACUGCUUAUUUUGAGAGAAAUGCUCAGCACAGCUUGAGAAAUAACAAGCAAUCCCCCUGCUAGCACAGGAAUGAAGACAAUAGGACGUAAUAGCAACCCAAGGAUCCUUAAUUCCAGACAUCCUCAG